rfam:Clostridium sp. 26_22 Ley3_66761_scaffold_930, whole genome shotgun sequence.
UAGCACUUGCUAAAAAUAGAGUCGAAACUGGACUGGUCUAGUAGCUCCUUUUGAGCGAAAAAUCGGUAGACGAAAUAAGAA